GUACUCAAAACAUCAACAAAGAACCCAAUUUCUCAAUCUUUUUUUUUCAAAAUUGGGGAAAUCUUCAAAGCUGUGGCUAAAAGGAAUUAGAGAAAUGACUAUUGGUAUCUGAAUCUGGGUAUUCUUUGCAGGAAUCUUGUAAGAAUUAGAGAACGUGCAUCUAGUGACGGAGCUCUGCGAGGACGGCGAGCUUUUCGAUAGGAUUGUUGUGAGAGGACAUUACACGGAGCGUGCGGCUGCAGCCGUCGCGAGAACCAUCACCGAGACGCCGAGGUCGUGAUGUGGGUUACUCCAAUGGACUUAUGCACCGAGUUUUGAAACCGGAUUAUUUCUUGUUCGCUAACAAAAAGGGGUUGUGGUGCAUGCAUCGUAAUACUAGCAAAGUAUGAUCCAGUGUUAGACAAAGUCGAGGAGUAUUCAAUAAACUCUUGCCUGAUCCUUGCCAGCUUCUGACGACGAUAGUUACUAACCAUGGAGCGGCUAACAUCUCCUCCUCGUCUAAUGAUAGUCUCGGAUCUUGAUCAUACUAUGGUAAGCCUUCGCAAUUUACGGCUAUUAUCUUUCCCUUGGCUCAAAGCGAGGAAGGGCGGAUUAGAUUCAGGCUUAUUGUUUAGACACACAAGGCUCAAGAGAUUGGCUCAAAGCGAGGAAGGUUACUAGUUGACGGCUUCCUAUAUCUAAUCCGCAAGUUAACUUACACUGCUCUGUACAAAUCACCAUUAACGUUGCUCAUGCUUCUGUCUCUGUUUUUUGGAUUAUUUAAUCUCGACAAUGCUCUUCAGGGAUUCUCGUUGCCUGUAGUUCAGCUCACUGCUACUAACUUCAACUCGCAAGGUGUGACGCCAAUGGAGUUAUGCACCAAGUUUUUGAACCCGAUAAGUUCUUGUUCGCUAACAAAAAGGUGAAUUCUGCCUUAAAGGCCAUUGAUUUUGGCAACUCUGUGUUCUUCAAACCUGGUAACUAUGGUUAUGAUACAGUUCCAAAUGAUUUAUUGUCCAAGCAAAUAUGAACAUGUGGAUAUCCCAUCCUCUUGUCUACACUUUUUGCAGUUUUUCAGUGUAUCAUUUCAACAGUUUUAAAUUAUUUAGUGUCCAUUGGAAUUGUACUAUGUGGUUAUGAAUCAGUUCCAAAUGAUUUAGUGUCCAUAAAAACAUGAACAUAUGGAUAUCCUUU